AAUAUACUCCCUCCGUCUCAAAAUUCUUGUCUUAGAUUUGUCUAGAUACGAAUGUAUCUAAUACUAAAACGUAACUAGAUACAUUUGUAUCUAGACAAAUUUAAGACAAGAAAUUUGGGACGGAGGGAGUAAUUA
rnacentral:pre_miRNA from 1 species